rnacentral:rRNA from 1 species
AUUGAACGCUGGCGGCAGGCCUAACACAUGCAAGUCGAGCGGAUGAAGGGAGCUUGCUCCUGGAUUCAGCGGCGGACGGGUGAGUAAUGCCUAGGAAUCUGCCUGGUAGUGGGGGAUAACGUCCGUAAACGGGCGCUAAUACCGCAUACGUCCUGAGGGAGAAAGUGGGGGAUCUUCGGACCUCACGCUAUCAGAUGAGCCUAGGUCGGAUUAGCUAGUUGGUGGGGUAAAGGCCUACCAAGGCGACGAUCCGUAACUGGUCUGAGAGGAUGAUCAGUCACACUGGAACUGAGACACGGUCCAGACUCCUACGGGAGGCAGCAGUGGGGAAUAUUCGACAAUGGGCGAAAGCCUGAUCCAGCCAUGCCGCGUGUGUGAAGAAGGUCUUCGGAUUGUAAAGCACUUUAAGUUGGGAGGAAGGGCAGUAAGUUAAUACCUUGCUGUUUUGACGUUACCAACAGAAUAAGCACCGGCUAACUUCGUG